AAAGCAUGUCAGUAGGACACUUUUUGGUCAGUCCUUUAUAUCUCUCCCAAGCUUCAUAGAGGGAUUCACCUUCUUUCUGUCUGAAGGUCUGAACGUCCACUCUAAUUUU